AAGUCGUAACAAGGUAACCGUAGGUGAACCUGCGGUUGGAUCAUUAACAAUGGUUUUCAAACCUUUAUUCUGUGCACUGUAUUGUUCUUGGUGUUUUUCGCCUCUUUCUUUGGAGGAGCGGAGGCACCGACAUUUUUAAACCAUGUAUUGUAUCGAGUCUUGAAUUUGUAUUAAAAUGAAAAACUUUUGACAACGGAUCUCUUGGCUCUC
rnacentral:misc_RNA from 1 species